CACAGAAUCCAAAGCAGGCUCCAAGCUCUGAACUGUCAGCACAGAGCCUGACAUAGGGCCCAAACUCACGAGCCAUGAGAUCAUGACCCGAGCUGAAGUUGGACGCUCAACUCACUGAGCCACCCAGGCACCCCUCAGGGGCAGGUAAAUUUGAGCUAAAGGCCACGUGGCUUAUUAUAGGACCUAAAAAAAUUUUUUUUGUGGCUAUCACGUUUUGAUCUUUAAAUGCCCAGAUUCAAAGCAGUAGCUUUGCAGGGGCCCUAGUGUACAAUGUGGAAUACUGGAAAUGGCCACACGUGGGUGUGUGUUCUCCACUGGAUACAUCAAAGACCAGGGGGACACCGAGGUCUGCCAGCUUCGAUGCCAACAUCAAGUAAACAGAUGGUGCUGGCAAUGUUAGCAGCCAUUAAAAAUCAUGUUUUUCAAGAAUAUUUAAUGACACAGGGAAAUAUGAUCCAAUGUGAAGUGAAUUGCAUCAAUACUCCAAACUGUACCAACUGUAUCUGGUGAAUCAGCUGUAAUAACACAGGCAGGAGGCAGAGCCAGCCAAACCCUGCUUAUUCAUUUCCCAGGAAGUGGGAAUGGGGAAGAAGCCCCAACAGAAGGUACAGAGCCCUGGAAGGUCAGUUAAUACCUGAUGGGGCCAGAGUGUGAGGAUAAUUUUUGUGGGCAAGGAGGAGGCAGGGCUGGUGGGAAGAUUAGGGGAACACAGUAAAAAAAAUUCACCACUGUAGACAAAGCUUAUAACUGUAGACAAGGUUCAUCACUGUAGACAAGGUUCAUCACUGUAGAUAAGGUUCAUCACGGUAGAUGAAGUUCAUCACUGCAGACCAGGUCCAUCAUUGUAGACAAAGUUCGUCACUGUAGACCACGUUCAUCACUGUAGGCAUGGUUCCUCACUGUGAACCAUCUCCCCAUGAGCCUCCCCUAUUGUGUUAUUCUACAUUGAGUGGAGGCCAUCCAUUGCUGCCCUCUUGUUUGGCAGUUCCUUGAGGCUCCCCUAAAGUCCUGUCUGCAUGGUUCUUAUUUAAAAAUUUUUUUUAAAUGUUUAUUUAUUUUGAGGGAGAGAGAGACAGAGUGUGAGCAGGGGAGGGGCAGAGAGAGAGAGGGAGACACAGAAUCUGAAGCAGGCUCCAGGCUCUGAGCUGUCAGCGGGGCUCGAUGCGGGGCUCGAACUCACGAAAUGCGAGAUCGUAACCUGAGCCGAAUUCGGAUACUCAUGCAUCCCUGCAUGGUUCUUCUUUUUUUUUUUUAGACUACUAUUUGAAGGGCAACUUGAAUGCAGUCUAGUCCCAGGACUAACAGGUCGGUUUUAAUGAAUCUACAAGCCUCCAAAAUGGAUGAAAGACACGGGACCAUGAGCCAAGGAAUGCAGAUGUCUAGAAGCUAAGGAUGAUCCCAGUCUGACAGCCACAAGGAAAUGGUAACCUUUGUCGUACAACUGCAUGGAACUGAGCUUGGACAACAACCAGAAUGAGUCUGGAAGAUUAAUUAGCAGAGCCUCUAGAAAGGAACACAGCGCUCCUGCUAUGGCAAAUCUAGAGCAGAGAAACCAGCUGAGCCUACAAGCCUUCUGACUUCAAAACUAUUAGAUAAUAAAUGGGUGUUGCUUUAAGCUGCUGCAUUUGUCGUAAUUUGUUAUGGAUGCAAUCGAGAAUUAAUACACAGUCUGCAGUUUGUCUUGUCAUCCUCUUAACAAGAUCUCUCCCAGAGCAAAUUUUUUAAUUUUGAUGAGGUUCAAUCUAUCAAUUAUUUUCUUUUGUGGAUUGUGCUUUCGGUGUCAAGUUUAAGAACUCUUCCCCACGUUCUAGGUUCAGAAGAUGUUUUCUUAUGUAUUCUUUGAAAUCAUAUAGUUCACAUUUUACCUUUGACUAAGUGAUCUGUUUACGGUUAAUUUUUGUACAAGAUGUGAAGUGUUGGUUAAGGUUCUUUUUUUGCCUUUGGUUAUCCAAUCACUUCCACACCAGUUGUUGAAAAAUUACCCAUCGAAUUGCUUUUGCACAUUUGUCACAAACCAGUUGACUGUUGUUGUGUGGGGCCAUAUUUUUCUUUCCUGUUCUGUUCCACUGGUCUACAUGUCUGUUCCUCUGCCAUUAACACAUAGUCCUGAUUACCAUAGCUAUAUAAUAAGUCUUACAACUGGGUUGAAUGACUCCUCUCAUUUUAUUCUUUUUCAAAAUUAUUUUAGCUGUUCUAAUUCCUUUGUUUCUCCACAAAUUUUGGAAUAAACUUGCUUAUAUUUACAAAUACCUUGCUGAGAUUUUGAUAAGAGUUAUGUUAAAUCUGUACAUCAAAUUGGGGAGAAUUGACAUCUUUGCUAUGUUGGGUAUUACAAUCCAUGAAUGUCGUGUGUCUGUCUGUUUUUUAUUUUUAUUUCUUUCAGCAGCAGCUUUCAGACCUUGACAUGUAAGUCCGGUAUAUCUUUUGUUAGAUUUAUACCUAAGUAUUUCAUUUUUAAAGAGAUUGUAAAUGGUAUUGUAUGUUUAAUUUUGAUUUCUGUGUAUUCAUGCUAAGAUAUGGAAAUAGAGUUAAUUGUCCUUUGUAGAUCUUUUAUCUUGUGACUUUAAUAAAACUGUUUUAUUAGUUCCA